GACGAACGCUGGCGGCGUGCCUAAUACAUGCAAGUCGAACGCAGUGGGGACGGGGUCGUAACACGUGGGUAACCUCCCAUCAGAGGGGAUAACACUUGGAAACAGGUGCUAAACCGCAACUGAUGUAUGAACCCGCGGUGCAUUGGCUAGUUGGUGGGGUAACGGCUCACCAAGGCCACGAUGCAUAGCCGGCCUGAGAGGGUGAUCCGCCACACUGGGACUGAGACACGGCCCAGACUCCUACGGGAGGCAGCAGUAGGGAAUCUUCGGCAAUGGACGAAAGUCUGACCGAGCAACGCCGCGUGAGUGAAGAAGGUUUUCGGAUCGUAAAACUCUUUUGUUAGAGAAGCGGUAUCUACCCAGAAAGCCACGGCUAACUACGUGCCAGCAGCCGCGGUAAUAC
rnacentral:rRNA from 1 species